GAGAGAGAGUCUGUCUCUGUGUGUGUGUGUGUGUGUGUGUGUGUGUGUGUGUGUGUGUGUGUGAGGCGUGUCUGUUAGAAGUGAGAGAAGGCGAACAGAUAACUUGCGGUCACUAAACUAUCAUAAAAAUGCAGCAAAAUAAAGCAAUAAAAUAAAAGUAAAAUAUUCGGUCAGAAACACCGAGAGACCUGAAGACGGAAUAAACAGCUGAUGCUUGUGGAAGCUUCUCGCUCUGUGGGGGAAUGUUUCCUGUCACAACAUGCAACUGUUAAGUUUUUAUUUGCUGUUUACUUUCAUAAAAGGAUUUAACACAUCACAGGAGGAUCCUGAUCCAUCUCGAUUUCCAUACGUGGACAGUGACCUUGUCUCUCCCACUCAGGACGCUUCCCCCACUGUGAUCCUGGACAUUUUCAGUAGUGCACACAAGCUCCAGACUGAGAGUGUACGUCAGGGUGGAGGGGACUCUGGAUUGGGCGAUAAGACCAGAUUCCAUGUUGUUCCACAGGAAAUCUCACACAAUGGACAGGAUAAAGCUGGAAGCGUGAUCUCUGACCUCGCUCACACAGAUACACACUCACUCACUGAUUCCAGGCUCUCGUUUACAGAAAAGGAAAAAGACUCGAGUCUCUUUAGUGCUGAAACACAAUGGACAGGACUUUCUGCUCACACACUGAACGUAGCCACAAGCGCCGAUUCAAAUACGGGUGCGAACACGCUUCCAGAAAACGGUCCACGUACCACAACAGUGUUCUCAGUUACGCACGUUGACACGAACACGCCUUCACUUCACUCUGAUGUGCUCACCGUGAUGGACAUCACCGUGAUGUCAUCAGCACCCAUGGUCAGUCAAUCUCAUAUAACUACCCACAGAAAUAGAGCAACAGUCACAGAGCUCGUGACGUCUGAAUCGAACGGAUUCCGUGAUGUCACUGAUGGACGUGACACAUCAGUGAUGUCAUCAUCAUUCACAGCCAAUGAGGGAAGGCCUGCAGUUCAGCCUUCAAGCAAAAUGUUCUGGACUAAAAGUCUUCCUCAUCCAAAUCACAUGACACCAAACUACCCAGAUUUGUCUGUUACUGAUGGCUUUCUAAGUGACUCCGUGUCACAUCUCCAGGCCUCGGAGUCCAACAGCAUCACGUAUGUAAGUGACGGCACGGUGAGGUCAUCAGCAUACAAAGACACGGCGGAAACGGAUCGCUUCCCUCGAUCGACUCGUAUCAACAGGAACGUUUCUGGUCAUACAGCCUCGUCGCGUUUUGAUGAUGUAAGCACCACGACUGACCCACCUAGAGCUUCACUUUCUGACAUGUUGGAAAAUAUAUCUACAACAAACAGGAAAAGGACGGAGUUUUACUCACACACUCCGUAUUACACCAGUUCCCCAAACACAGACUCCACACCAACUGAAUCAGAGACUCCACAGGCAUCACACACUGAAUACACAAGCAUCCCUGUACAAACUACUAACCACCAGAGGAGUGAGUCACACACACACACACUCACACACACGUCUUCUGAAACCCUUCCUACGCGCUCGGAUUCACGCUCGAGUUCUGUUACAUCGAUGAGACAGGACUUCACCUCUACACCAGCUUCACAUUCACCACACACACUGACUCACGGUGAUCCCAUUAACUCUCAUACGGUUCCGACCGGCUCCUGUAGGUCUGUUAUCGCGACCCAUCAGAACGACCCGAACACCACGCUCGGUCCCAUCACAGCUCCGUAUGGAACAACAGACACAGACUCUCUCCCUGUGUCUGAAUUACAGACACAAACUGACAAUAACACUGAAGAGAUCACAGAAAUGAACGGUAAAACAUCAGAUUCAAAUAAUCUGCCUCACGUGACGGCUCUUAACGCUGACACUCAACCAACGAUGGUCACACAUCACGACCCAUCAACAUCUAGGAAUGAUCCUGAGACAACAACAACUUUGAGCCCAGCUGUUACACCAGCAUCACUUCUGACAUCUCGCUCAUUCGACACUGUGACCACCAGCACACCUUCAGCAAACCUUCACACCGCUCACUCCACUCUUAUAACAACGACCCGACGGCCUGAGACACGAAUUCCAAACCAUCUCACUACAAGCAGGAACACGCAGAUUGUCCAGCAGCCUGAAACAACAACAACACACCAAGUGCACACAAACACACACACAAACGCUGAAACACACACACAUUUAACCCCUGUGAUCAAUCAAACAUCUUGGAGUCGCACUUUCACUAAGAAACCUGAAAAAGACUGGUCACACAAGGGGCGGGUCUUCAUCAUGGAGGACCAACCAGCAAUCAUCAAGGAGGAAACCUUCCAGGUGUUGUUACAGGUGAUACUGGAGGAGAACUCGCCCACAUAUGCAGGACUUCUGGAGGUGGAGCCGUUUUUACAAAACGUAUCAGGAUACCAAAGCCAGCAUGUCACCUGGCACAGUGGUCCAGUUGUGCAGUUUGUGGUCACGUUCAGGACAGUGGAGGCCGUCUCAUGGCUCGAGAGGGCGGGGUCUCUCUUACAGGAGGCGGGGCUAAAACCACUUCCAACAGGGGGGGUUUUUGUGAGCGGAAUCCAGGUCAAAAACAUCACAGUGGGAGGACUGCACAGUGAUGUGUGUUCUUGGUUGUUUUCUUGUCCAUCUGACUUCUCCUGUGUCUCUUCUGAUGGAAACGUCACCUGUAAGUCAGUGUGCCACUCCGAGUACUGCAAGAACCAUGGUAUCUGUGUCCAUCGGUCAGAACAGAACCCAGUCUGCCAGUGUCCUGUGGGUGAGGAUUUCUGGUUCAUGGGUCAGCGCUGUGACCUCCGUAUGACCCGGCAGAGAUUGGCCGGUUUGUGUUCUGGGGUUUUAGCAGCAAUAGCAGCUCUGAUGGGGCUCCUGGCUUAUCUCGCUGUACAGCGCUUUAAAAAAAUGCUUAUACAAGCCAAAGCAGAACAGACGCAGAGCAGUUACCGCAGAUUUAACCACUUUGAUGAGCUGUCAGCUCGUUUCUGGAGAAGAUCCUGGCCUGGGUCUCAGGACUCACUGGAUAACACUGCGUUCAGUCAUUCUGAUGAGUUACUGCAUAUGAGAGCACUGGACCAGGCCUGUUGUUACCAUGACGACACACUCUCCCUCGCCUCCACCUACCCAGAUAGCGUUACACACCUCAAUACGGUGUAUCCUCACAGCUCUCAGUAUCACUGGGACAUGAGCACAUGCAGCCUAGCGGACGGUGUGAUUGAUUCAGGAAAGGCCAGCGACCUGUCUGUGUGCAGCUGGCCGAUUGAACCCAUCCAGUGGACACCUUUCCCUUUACUACAGCAACUCAGACACACAAACACGAUGAAACCGUCUCGUCCUCGGUCGUACUGUGAGGGUAUGGAGCUGGUGGGUCUGGAGAAGAGUCGGACGGCGUAGUGAGGGAUUCAUGCAGCUCGUAACACACACUCAGGACUCUGGACACUCACUGAAGAUGACGUAUUUACUUGAAUUUGUAGAAGCAGAAACAUGGAACGCAACACGACCUGUGUGUGAGCCUUCAUCUGCUGAACCAAGAGAAGCUUCACAUCCAGUCAGUGUGACGUGGGCAGAGAAUGUUUCUCACUCUAUCUCACACGUCUGGAAAAUUGACCACUCACAUUUUAAACCUGUGAGAAAAAUUCACUGGAGACAAACCAGUUCAGUGGAGACUGAAGAAGUGUGUGUUGUUUUAGUAAUUACACCAAAAUGUCAUCAUGUAUAUGAACUAUUAGUUGUCUCUCUCUGUCUGUAUGUCUCUCUGUCUGUCUGUAUGUCUCUCUGUCUGUCUGUAUGUCUCUCUGUCUGUCUGUAUGUCUCUCUGUCUGUAUGUCUCUCUGUCUGUCUGUAUGUCUCUCUGUAUGUCUCUCUGUCUGUAUGUCUCUCUCUCUGUCUGUCUCUGUCUCUCUGUAUGUCUGUAUGUCUCUCUGUAUGUCUCUGUCUCUCUGUAUGUCUCUCUGUAUGUCUCUGUCUCUCUGUAUGUCUCUCUGUAUGUCUCUGUCUCUCUGUAUGUCUCUCU